UACGGAGGGGACUAGCGUUGUUCGGAAUUACUGGGCGUAAAGCGCACGUAGGCGGAUUUGUUAGUCAGGGGUGAAAUCCCGAGGCUCAACCUCGGAACUGCCUUUGAUACUGCAAAUCUCGAGUCCGGGAGAGGGAUGUGGAAUUCCAGGUGUAGCGGUGAAAUGCGUAGAUAUUAGGAAGAACACCGGUGGCGAAGGCGGCCCACUGGCUCGACACUGACGCUGAGGUGCGAAAGCGUGGGGAGCAAACAGG
rnacentral:rRNA from 1 species